GAAUGAGACUCUCUGCCUUGAUUGAUCACAAGUGUCACUACAAUAUCGUUUGAUCUGUAGAAAUAGGUGCCCAUUUCCUAAAUCAAUACAUUUAGUGUUUGACAUUUUUCUCUUCACCGACAAGACUCUCCCUUGGUGGAUGAGGUCUACAGAUCCUACCAUGUUCAGCUUCUGAAGGGUAUACUCUCUUUCUUGGCUACUGUUCACCCGUGUAACUUCAAUGUUGUCUUGGCUCUCAACAAGUUAAUAUGUCAGGUUGAUAAGCAUGUCUCUCCGAUGGAUGCUCCCUUGUUUCUCACUACACAACACAGAUUCUUGCAUCCUUUUUCCCAACCAAGACAAUACGAGAAGUUACGAGAUUCGUUUCUCAGCUUUACACUUCAAGAGUGAACUACAACAUCUUCAAGAUGAAGAUUAGGAGCUUCCUGGUGCAUUCCAAGGAAUUCUCUCUGCUCAGGAACUCUCAUUGAAACUAGGGAACGUGAAGAAGAAUAAGAAGAAGAAGUAGAAGGCCAAGAUUUGCCAUUACUAAUUUGUAAUCUGAUAUUAGUGUAAUUGAAUUCCUCCUUCACUACACAUAAUUGUAAGAAAAAGAACAUAUAUGUAGUUGUUCUAAAGAUAAAUAUAAAUACACUUUACUGUUA